AUGUCCAACCCGUACACCUUCCUCAGGCCUCAUAUAGAUCGUCCUUUCUUCCCCUUCCAAAGAAGCCUAGUCUCUCCAUCCUCUCCCCCAAAACAAGCACUCCCUCUCCUAAGCCUUCUCCCUUCGAGCCAUGAUCACAGCAAGAUCCUUGGUUGUGGGUAUGCCGGUGAUGAUGAUCAUCAUCAACUUAAGAAGGAAGAUGAGGAUGUGAACAUCUCACUCCAAAUUGGGCCGCCGAAUCCGAACCCCGCGCCUAAUCUUUUAAGGAGUACUGUGAGUGAUGGUGGUUGCGAUGAUGCAACAGGAACAACACAGGAUCAGUGUGGUGGUGGCGAUCACAGCAGGGCGGACGAGCAGGAGGAAGAGGAAGACGACGAUGAUGAUGCCGCCGGUGAUGGUCUUUGUUCGGAGUACUUUGCCGCUGGUAAGCUUACCAAGGGCAAGUAUUGGAUCCCUACCCCCGCUCAGAUCCUCAUUGGGCCCACUCACUUCGCCUGCCCGGUGUGCUGCAAGACCUUCAGCAGAUACAACAACCUGCAGAUGCACAUGUGGGGACACGGGUCGCAGUACCGCCGCGGGCCUGACUCCCUCCGCGGCACGCAGCCGGCGGCGAUGCUCCGGCUGCCGUGCUUCUGCUGCGCGCCGGGGUGCCGGAGCCACGUGGACCACCCGCGGGCGCGGCCGCUCAAGGACUUCCGGACGCUGCAGACGCACUACAAGCGCAGGCACUGUGCCAAGCCAUUCCUCUGCCGCAAGUGCGGCAAGGCGCUCGCCGUGCGCGGCGACUGGCGAACUCACGAGAAGAACUGCGGCCGCCGGUGGCACUGCACCUGCGGCUCUGACUUCAAGCACAAGCGCUCGCUCAAGGAUCACAUUCGGGCCUUCGGGCAGGACCACGUCGAGCGGCCGCCCGCCGCCAAAAUGUGA
rnacentral:rRNA from 1 species